rnacentral:sRNA from 1 species
UUAAAUCACGGAUUGGCGUGAUGAUUUCGAUUUUCGGACACAUUACGUUGAAAAUCAAAUCGAAACGAACCUGGUCAUUUC